AUUGAACGCUGGCGGCAUGCCUUACACAUGCAAGUCGAACGGUAACGCGGGGCAACCUGGCGACGAGUGGCGAACGGGUGAGUAAUGUAUCGGAACGUGCCCAGUUGUGGGGGAUAACUGCUCGAAAGAGCAGCUAAUACCGCAUACGACCUGAGGGUGAAAGCGGGGGAUCGCAAGACCUCGCGCAAUUGGAGCGGCCGAUAUCAGAUUAGGUAGUUGGUGGGGUAAAGGCCUACCAAGCCUACGAUCUGUAGCUGGUCUGAGAGGACGACCAGCCACACUGGGACUGAGACACGGCCCAGACUCCUACGGGAGGCAGCAGUGGGGAAGUUUGGACAAUGGGGGCAACCCUGAUCCAGCCAUGCCGCGUGCGGGAAGAAGGCCUUCGGGUUGUAAACCGCUUUUGUCAGGGAAGAAAUCCUUUGAACUAAUACUUCGGAGGGAUGACGGUACCUGAAGAAUAAGCACCGGCUAACUACGUGCCAGCCGCCGCAGUAA
rnacentral:rRNA from 1 species